AAGAAAGAAAGAAAGAAAAAAGAGGAACCAGAUUUCAUGGUGCAUGGGUCAUAAAGAAGAAAGUGGGGGUGGGGAGGCACAGUUGACAACCCCUUCAAGACAUUUGUGCUCAACACACAAAAAAAGCACAGGAUGAUAACUGAUGGGCUUGGCAAUAUCAGGAUGAAUUUCCAGGCAGGGGGAAGCCUCGGUAUAUUUCUAGAAAAAAGGAGAAAGAAAGAACUAGUGGAACAGAAAAAAAUAUAGACAAACCAGACAAGGAACAGGUAUUUCCCUUCAGGUAUAAAGUUCCAGAAAAGGCAAAAAGAAAGAGGUUGAAACAUAAAAGACAUGAUCAGAUCAGCAAAGGAGAUGAGACUCUAAGAGCUGCUUUUCUUGAACUAACAAGAAUCCCUGGUGCGUUUUGGAAGAGGCCUGCAGGUGACCGUGGACACAAAUGACACACAUCAUUCCCCCAACCACACCUCUUCCAGGCACUGGUCCCUUGGGGCAUGAAACAAUACUUGAAAACCACUGCUUUACCCUAAAUGAUUUAGUUAGGAGGAGAGCUUAUACACAAACCCCCCCACUUUUUUUUAAUAAAUGAAAAAAGAAAAAGACCUAAAGAAUGAAGUUCUCCAUAAAAUAAAAAUUAAGACCAUCUGGCCACAUGAUUUCACCACAUCAAGAUUUCAAACCAGCCACUUUGGGAAACAGCCUGGCAGUUUGUCAAAAAGUUUAAUGCAGCAUUCCCGUAUGACCCAGCCAUCCCACUUUUAGGUAUACACCCAAGGUAACUGAAAACAUACGUGCACACAAGAACCUGUACACAGACGUUCACAGCCAAAAAGGGGAAACGACCCAAGCCGUCCAUCCGUUGGUGGAUGGAUAAAUAACAUGCAGCGAAGCCAAACAGAAGAACACUAUUCAACCUUAAAAAGGAAUGCAGCGCUAAUAAAUGCUAAAAUGCGGAUGAAACUCAAAAACACAAUGCUGAGUGAAAGAAGCCAGGUGCCAAGGCCGCAUCGUGUAUGAUUCCAUUUAUACACAACGUCCAGAUUAGGCAAAUCCAGGAAGAUAAGAGAGCAGGUCAGUGGUUGCAGGGGAUGGGGUGGGGGCAAGGCAGGGAGAGUGGCCAGGGAUUGCUAAUGGGUGUGGGGUUUCUUUUGGGAUUGAUGAAAAUGUCCUAGAUUAGAUAGUGCCGAUGACUGCACAACGGUGUCAAUAUACGAAACACCACUGAACCUCCCACUUUAGAAUAAAUAAACAAAAAGUUUCCAACUAGACCUGCUGAUGACUUGAGUAAGAAGGAAGAUACAGGAACCCAUACACACGCCUAACCCUGCUUCUUCCCAAAUCUGUGUUGCCUUGAAAUGAGGCCAGAGCUGACAUGAAACCACAGAAGCCCAGUCCACUCCUGGUCACAUGCUCAGAGGAAUAACAACGAUGAGUGACUGUAACUAGAAUUUACAGGGCGCUUACUGUGUGUCAGACGCUCGACUAACCACUGUACGCGGCUUAGCUCAUUUCAUUUCUCGCUGCAACCCUUUGAGGUACACACUGUUAUCCUCCCCAUUUUACAGAUGAGGAAAUUAAGGCACAAAUAAGUUUCCUAAUUAGUGCCCGGUCACCCAGUUGGGAUCUUCAACCCCAGGCAAUCUGACUCACGAACACCAUGCCAUUCCGUCCCCGAACGACUCUGUCUUCUUAAGAUCCCUUGCAAAAUUCAUCGACUUAACGAUGUAAACCGGGGCAGGUCAAGAGUUUAAAAUAACCAACACUAUUAACUCAAAUAGCCAUCUGGGGAUGGAAAAUUGGAAAGACCCAAGGCACCAAGGAUGAGUGCUGUUAUUUCUCGUUACAGUGAAUGUUGACAAGCUGCACGUACAAUCGAGCAUGAAAUUCUAGAUUGCUGCCUACUUCUUUUAAGAUUUGGAGUGGUUUACUAGACACCCCCCUGCCCAUAGUACCCUCAUAAUCUAGGUUUCUGGCUGAAACCGUCAGCAAGAGUGUGUACAAUUGUUUCUAUAGAUAAGACGAACAUGACACGUAAAUUCACAUACGUGUGCGCUCACUGCACAGGCAGAUGGUCAAUUUGAAAUCCUAAAUCCUAGGAGUGGGGGAUGAAUAAGCACAAAGCAAUCCAAGAGAACUGCCGGGGUGGGGAGAGGCUUGGGAACCAGCAAUUAGGAGGGGGCAGGAAGGAUAAAGGUCACUCCUUGAGGCGAGCUUGGGGGGAAUCAGAAGGUUGGAUCGUUCCCAGAGCUGCCAGGAUGCCUGUCUGAUUAAAUCAACGAGCAAGGAGUGUUUCAUAUGCUGGAAAAUGCCAGCGGACAGGCAGUGAGGGGUGACGUAAGGCCUCAAAAGUCAAGGGAAGUGUUGGGACUUGACAGAGGAGGAAAAGCACGCAAUGCGGAGCGUCCAACUUUCUGCUGGGGCGAAGCAGAAACGCACGGUCGCCCGCGUCACCGAAAUCCACCUGGUGAAUCCACGGCGACCACGCGUCACCCAGUGGGACCCGCCGCGACCUCCCCCCUCCACCCCCCGCGGCCCGCGCCCCUCCCAGGUCCCUCCCCGCGGGCGCAGGGAUGCCUGGGUGGCUCAGUGGUUGAACGUCUGCCUUUGGCUCAGGGCAUGAUCCCAGGGUCCUGGGAUCGAGACCCACAUCGGGGACCUUUGCCUGUCUCUCCACCUGUCCCCGUGCCUCUCAUGAAUAAAUAAAUAAAAAUCUUUAAAACUA